rnacentral:rRNA from 1 species
AUGGCGGCUAGCGAACACACCCUUUGGACAGCUGGUUCUGUGGUGCCGACACCUCUGCUAACUACGGCGAAUAGGCUGGUGGAUCCCUGUGACAACCUGACAGCUGGUGGGGGCGAAAAAGGGGCACCCUUGGUGGAUGCUACCCGCCUGAAGCCGGUUGCCGGGGGACCUAAGGGCUUGAUCGGCGGUAUCAACUGCUUAAGUUGGAAUUGUCGCGGCGCGGGGAACACGACGACUGUUGGUGAGCUAGUUUCUCUGGUUAAAAUCAACAAUCCUAGCAUUAUUUUUCUUUGUGAAACUCGCCAAAAAAAGAAAGAAUGCCGCCUGCGGAAUAGGUUGGGUCUUCGUGGUUUCGAAGGAGUGAGUAGUGAUGGCCUUAGUGGAGGUCUUGUUAUGUAUUGGCAUGAGACUCUGUGA